CGAAGUUUCCCUCAGGAUAGCUGGCGUUCGAUCGUCGCAAUUCCAUCCGGUAAAGCGAACGAUUGGAGGCCCCGGGGCCGUUCACGGCCUCGACCUACUCUCGAACUCGGAACGGGUGGAACGGGUCGACUCUCCCGAAUACGGAGCCGUCCCACUUCUCUGCCGCCUGUCGUCGUCGUCCUCGCGGGCGGCGGCGGCGGUGACAGAAACGAAUGCGAAUGCCAAGUGGGCCACUUUUGGUAAGCAGAACUGGCGCUGUGGGAUGAACCAAACGUCCGGCUAAGGUGCCUAACGCGACGCCCAUGAGAUCCCCGAAAGGGUGUCGGUCGAUAUAGACAGCAGGACGGUGGCCACGGAAGUCGGAAUCCGCUAAGGAGUGUGUAACAACUCACCUGCCGAAUCGACCGGCCCCGAAAAUGGAUGGCGCUGGAGCGACGGACCGAUGCCGGACCGUCGCGGCGAGGAGCGCUUGCGCUAGAACAAUGCGCGCGCCUGACCGAUGCCGCGACGAGUAGGAGGGCGCCGCGGUGUGCACGGAAGCCUAGGGCGCGAGCCCGGGUGGAGCCGACCGCGGGUGCAGAUCUUGGUGGUAGUAGCAA
rnacentral:rRNA from 1 species